rnacentral:lncRNA from 1 species
AUCUCUCAAGUUUGCUCUACUCCAUUAAUGGAGGUUCUGCAAUUAUUUGUAUACAAUUCUAACAUGGUAUCAGAGCACAGACACUGAUCUCUUCUUCAUCUUCUGCAGCACUCAUUCAUUCUUCAUCUCUUUCACGAAUAACCGUUCUUCAUCUUCUCGAAUUUUUUCUUUUCAAUUUCUGUACUUAGAUUUCAAAGUUUUAGCUCAAUUUUUCCAUCAACAUCCUUCAAUUUCAUGGAUCAAAAUGCAGAUGUUCCUCAAAUCCCAAAUCGCCAAGUCAUCGAUGCUAGUCAGCCAUUGUACAUGCAUUCAUUAGAAAGUGCUGGGUCUGCUAUAAUUACGGUGAUUUUUUACGGGACUGGUUAUAGAUAAUGGCGACGUGGAGUUCUUCGUGCAUUAUCUGUGAAAAACAAAGUAGGUUUUAUUAAUGGCAAAUUGCAGAAACCAAAUGCAACUUCACCCACAUUUGCUUAGUGGGAACGUUGUGAUGAUAUGGUCACAUCAUGGAUCCUCAAUUCUCUAUCAAAGGAUUUAGUUGAUAGCCUGUAGUAUGUUAAUAAUGCAAAAGAAUUGUGGGAGGAACUGUAAGAUAGGUAUGAUCAGAAAAACGGUGCGAAGCUCUAUCAACUUCAAUAGGAAAUUAAUGAUCUCGCCCAAGGAAAUUUGGACAUUACAGGGUACUAUUCCAUGCUUCGAAGACUCUGGGAAAAGCUUAAUACUCUGGAUCCCAAUACUCAAUGUACUUGUUUCUGCAAUUGUGGUGGUAAGACCAAAAUGCACAAGGCUGAGCAAGAUCGGAAGCUUAUCCAGUUUUUAAUGGGGCUUAACGAGGUCUAUACUAUCGUUCGAGGGAGUUUUCUUAUGAUGAACCCACUGCCAACUAUGGCACAAGCCUUCCCUAUUUUAGUCCAAGAGGAGAAGCAACGAGAAGUCAAACCAUCAAUUCGCAUGAACUUGGAUGCUAGUUCUGGAGCUUCUACUUCACCAAGUGUUGUUUCUGGAAGGGGAAGUUUUAGAACAAAUUACUCUCAGAAUAAAAGCACAAAUAGAAACAUAUACAGAGAUCAUUCCCAGCAGCAGCAGGACAAUAGGACUUAUCCUUUUCCUGAUAUUAACAAAGCAAAUUUGUUUUGCAAUUAUUGUAAGAAAGUAGGGCACACAGAAGAGAAAUGCUACAGGCUGCACGGUUUUCCCAAAAAUUUCAAACUCACUAAGGGAAGGAAUUCUGGAUCAGCAGCAAUUGCUCACAACAAUUGUGAAACACCACUGGAACAUGCUCAUGAAACUCAAAGCUUAACCAAAGACCAAUAUGAUCAUCUGGUGAGAUUGCUUGAAAAUGUCCAGGUGCAAGGAUCAUCUAGCAGCACCAAAGAUACUUUGGAUAAUAUCAUGGGUGGAGCUGCGAAUUUUGCAGGUAUCUUGGCAUGUCACUCUUCCAUCACUGAUAUUGGUAAUCUUUCAUGUAGUUGUUUAAAAUUAACUGCUGAAUCAUGGAUCAUUGAUUCCGGAGCCUCAAACCAUAUGACUUUCAAUAAAAGUUUACUUAUCAACAUCAGACCACUGCCUUACCCUUUCCUAAUAACAUUACCUAAUGGCUAUAGAGUUAAAGUGACAGAGAUUGGGAAUGCAUGUUUCAAUUCAAUAGUGACUUUAUACAAUGUACUGUUUAUUCCUACUUUCAAAUUUAACUUGAUUUCAGUACAUUGUUUGACCUCUGAUCUUAAAAGUGCAGUUAGUUUCAAUGAUAAAUCAUGUUCUUUGCAGGGCCCUUCGCUGAAGAGCCCUCUGGUGAUUGGUAGAGCAAGGAGUGACCUUUACUUCUUCUGCUCAAGGUGUCCUAUUUCUGUCACCUCACUUGCUCCAUUAUCUCAUUGUCCUUCUUCACAUGCUUCUAAUGUUCAUUGUUCUUCUUCACAUGCUCCUAAUGAACAAGCUUUACAUCAUAUUUCCUCAUCUGUAACAUCUGUCAUUUAAAGAAAUAAAACAGCUUGUUGUAACAUGAAUUCAUCUAUUAUUCCUACUAUUUGUUCUGAAACCACUAAAUCCUUUUCAUUAUGCACAUCUCAUGAAAAUAACGUAGAAUACUUGUGGCACACUAGAUUAGGACAUGUUCCUUUUGUUAAGAUGAAGGGUAUCCACACCAUACCUGUUAAAUUCUCACCCAAACAACCUUUUACAUGCAUAGUCUGUCCCAUGGCAAGACAUACAAGAAUGUUUUUCCCAUCAAAUUCAACACCCUCUUCUACAAAAAAUUUUGAUCUUUUCCACAUAGACCUAUGGGGACCUUAUCACACACCAACAUAUGACAAUUACAAAUAUUUCAUCACAAUAGUUGAUGAUUACAGCAGGUCAACAUGGACUCAACUUAUCACUUGCAAAAGCAACACCCUCCAAACCAUAAAAGCUUUUAUAUCCUUGGUAGAAAAUCAGUUCGAUAUCACCAUUAAAACAAUAAGAACUGAUAAAGGUAUGGAAUUUGUCAAUAAAGAAACAACUAAUUUUCUCCAAAACAAAGAAAUCAUACAUCAAAGAACAUGCCCAUACACAUCACAACAAAAUGGCGUGGUAGAAAGAAAACAUAAAUAUCUUCUUGAGACUGCCAGAAGUUUAUUAUAUCAGUCCAAACUUCCCAUGAAUUAUUGGGGAGAGUGCAUUUUAGCUACAACUUAUCUAGUGAACAGACUGCCAUCCAAAGCCAUUCAAAACAAAACUCCUUUUGAAGUAUUAUAGCAAAAACCACCUACAUAUUCACAUCUAAGAUCUUUUGGUUGUCUUUGUUAUCCUACCACUCUCAAAACUCACAAGGAUAAGUUCGAACCUCGAUCAACUCCACAUAUUUUCAUUGGAUAUCCAUUCAACAAAAAGGGAUACAAGGUCUUAAAUGUGAGCACCAAGAAAAUACAUAUUUCAAGAGAUGUCUUAUUUUAUGAAAGUAUCUUUCCUUUUGCUCUUUCUUUUCCUGAUUCUAGUUUUAAUUCUGUAUUGAGAUGUCUUGAUGUUAACUCUGAAUUGUUGAACUGCACAAACAGUCGUUUGAAUAAUGUUCAUGAUUUGAAUGAAAACACCGUGAUUACUGUCACAGAUAACUCUGUCAAUGCCAACUUACCACACACUGAGGCUUCACUUGAUAAUACUACUCCAUCAAAUAAUCCAGAAAUAUCUCCACAUAUCACCAUUUCUAAUACUUCCACUUCCUGUUCACAAUAACCUAUUACUACCAUUUCCAGUUCACAAAGAUCAACCAAUGCACCUAGAAGAACAAGUAGGACACACUCUGUACCAAAAUACCAAAAUGAAUAUACAUAUAAUCUUCCCAACUUGCAACCUCAGUCAUCAAUUUACCACCCUUCUAAUAGCAUCAAUAAUACCAAUGAUCAACAAUUUUCACUUACCAGUUUCAACACUGAAAGUCAGCAGCUAGUUGAAAACAUUUUUCAUGAUAGUGAGCCAAGUACAUAUGGGGAGGCAGCCAUGAUUCCUUCUUGGAAAUCAGCAAUGACACUUGAAUUUGAAGCUUUGCAUGCUAACAAUACCUGGAGUUUAGUUCAUUUACAUGCAGGGAAGAAACCAAUUGGAUGUAAAUGGGUCUACAAGAUUAAACAUAAGGCUGAUGGAACUGUGGAAAGAUUCGAAGCUAGACUUGUAGUCAAGGGAUACACUCAACAAGCUGGUAUUGAUUAUAACGAGACAUUCUCUCCAGUAGUAAAGAUGAGCACUGUGCAACUAUUAAUCAGUUUAGUUGUUAAGAAAGGUUGGGAUUUAUAUCAGCUAGAUGUGAAUAAUGCAUUUCUACAUGGAGAUUUGAAUGAAAAAGUAUAUAUGGACCUUCCACAGGGACUGCAGGUGAAUGAAAAAGGACUUGUCUAUAAACUUAACAAGUCUUUGUAUGGGUUGAAACAAGCUAGUAGGCAAUGGUAUGAAAAAUUAGCAAAGGCAUUGUAUUCAAGAGGAUAUUCACAUUCUACCAGUGAUUACUCAUUGUUCUACAAGAAGGAUAAGUCAACUAAGGUUUUUGUAGCAGUGUAUGUUGAUGAUAUAAUAUUGACAGGAACUGAUCUAGAUGAGAUUACAUCCUUAAAGUCCUUUUAACAUGACCAGUUCAAAAUUAAGGAUCUAGGAAAACUUCAUUAUUUUUUGGGGUUGGAAAUUCUCUACAAACAAGAUGGGGUACUCAUCACACAGAAGAAAUUUACCACAGACUUACUCAAAGAGUUUGAUUGUUCACAUUAUAGUCCAACUACUUAUCCUCUUGACAGCGUGAUUAAGUUGAAGUCUUAUGAAGGAACCCUGUUAACUGAUCCAAAAUACUAUAGGAAAUUAGUGGGAAAGUUGAAUUUCCUUACAAAUACUAGAUUGGACAUUGCAUUUAGUGUACAACAUCUCAGUCAGUUUUUGCAAACACCUAGAGAGCCUCACUUGAAGGUUGCUUUCCAUGUAUUGAGAUAUUUGAAGAACACUCACACACUGGGAAUCAAUCUUUCAAAAGACCCUAACUAUACCAUCACUGCUUUUUGCAAUUCAGACUGGGUUGCAUGCCCUAAUUCCAGAAAAUCAGUGAGUGGAUACAUAGUACUCAUGGGGAAUUGUCCUAUAAGUUGGAAAUCCAUGAAAUAGACCACUGUUUCACUUUCCUCCGCAGAAGCAGAGUACAGGGCAAUAAGAAAAGUGGUUGGAGAGCUGGUUUGGCUUGAACGUUUGUUUUGUGAAUUAGGUGAAAAACCUUCUCGACCUAUAUCAGUUUUCAGUGAUAGCCAAGCAGCCAUCCAUAUUGCAAACAAUCCUGUGUUUCAUGAGAGAACCAAGCACAUAGAGGUUGACUGUCAUUUUGUUCGAGACAAACUACAUGAAGGACUUGUGAAUCUGCAUCACAUUCCUACUGAUGAACAAAUGUCUGAUACUUAAACCAAAAGCCUAACUGGACCAAAGCAUUCGACUAUUUUACGCAAGUUGUCUGGCAGCAUAUCCAUUCCAACUUGAGGGGGGGGGGGGUUGAGAUUAGUUAUAUUUCAAUUCAACUAAUUAUAUUAUUGUAAAGGAGUUAGUCAGCUGAUUCUGUUAAUUAGUUAGUUAGUUGAAGUUAGUUAGAAGAUAUUUUUCCUUUCAUUGUAUAUACAUGUAUAAAUACUAGAAGCAUGUGAAUAUAGAUCGCACACUUUUCAUUUUUUCCAAAUACACAAUCUGUUCAUCUCUCAAGUUUUCUCUGCUCCAUUAAUGGAGGUUCUGCAGUUAUUUGUAUACAAUUCUAACACUAUCAACAUGAGAAAGCCAUUUUAAUAUCUAGAUAGUAAGAUUUCAGCCAAACAGAAAUAAUUCAACAGAAGGACUUAAGACACAUUAUCAUAAAUUAAAAUAUAGCCGAAAACUAAACACAAUGACAAUUCCUAGUUUAGUAUUUUGGUUAUCGCAUGAUUGAUAAUGAACCGAAAGAAUGAAGGCUGGUAAGGCAAAUGCUUAGAGGGAAAACAGAUUUUUAAGACUAUUAAACAAACCUGUGACAAUCACUCUCUAAGAUUCUGUUCUUCCCAAACACAAACACGAGUUAGUAAACGAUGACAAAUAAUAAGAGAACUGGGAGUAAACCGCGAAUCAGAAAAACGGAUGAACUUCUCCGAUCGUUUGAACUGUACCAAAACAAUUUAAACUAAACUCAAGUGCAGGAGAAGGCAACAAAAUUUCACUAUUUAUUUCAAGCCAGAAUAAAGGACGACAAAUAAUGUAUGGGUGAGGAGAAGGGAUCAACCGAUUCGCAGGCAUAUGACGGGUAAUCGUCGGGUGGUAGGUGCGCAUUAGAAAUAUGAAUUGAGCAGUAUGUAAAACAGGCAAUGUAUACUAUUAUUUUUAGAAAAAAUCUAAACUUGGAAUAAGGGAGAAACCUUUAGCCUUUUCAAUACUUGGAACAAAGAUAAGGAGCAUGCACACACAACUAAAACACACAAGAGUAGCCGACUAUAUGGAUUGUAGAUGCCGAACACAACCAAUUUUAUAAAUAAUAAUGCUAACAGCAAUAGACCGUAUGAAGGAACUUUUGAAUUUUAAGAUAUUUCUCGUGUUAUUUCAUGCUUUCAGUAAAGAUGACCCUUCUAUUUCCCCAAAAUCUGCCACUUUAAAGAAGUUUGAAACAUUAGAAAACCGAUGUCAUUAGACACUCACUUGUACUUUUAGCUCGCAACCAAACACAUACGAAAUCGAGAGAACAUGGAGGAACAAAAAUGUUUAACCAACAAAGAAAGAAGACGAAAUACAGAUAAAGGGGCACUGCUAGGAGUUGACAGAAGAUACUCAGGCCAUGAUAUUUUUACUCAACAUAUGACUAAGUUAUAGAAAUGACAUAAGAAUAUAUGUAUAUCCUUCACACCUAAAUCAUCAAAACCACACAGCCACGAACGAAACAACAUAAAAGAGGCUCGACCGUCUGUCUUUUUCGAUUCAAAAUUUCUCGAUUUACUUUCGCCAAAAUGUGACCAAGAGUCUCCAAUAGUUCUUUGCUAAGGAAUUCCCAAUAUAUAUAUAUUUUUCCCAAAUACUAAACUCAAACUUCUCUUGAUUAUGAGUUUUUCUCCAUAAAGCAAAGAAUUAUGAACCAUCUUUUUUCUAUCAAAAAAAAUUUCCCCCUUUUUAUCUCUGGAAAAUGAAACUUAUAUAUCCCCAAAAUAGGGUUCCAAAAAAGGGGAUCAAUGCUAGCCAAAUCAAUCUCAGACCCACCAAAUUCAAAAUUCAAAAUCCUUUCACCAAUUUAGGGGAACAAACAUUUCCUGAGAUUUUGGCCCUAUUCCGGAAGGGGAAAGGGAGGUAUACGGCUGGGAUUUACUAGCCCGUCCUUGCACUCGACGUGGAGCCAUCUCACGUUGGCAAGGACGGGAUGCAAAGGAAAGGCUGAAUCGCUAGCCUGUUGUAGCCGACAACAAUAUGCAGGAACUUUACUCGAACUGACAAAAAGAGACGUUAAGGCAAAGGGCCAUGUUCCGCUUGCACACGAGGAUGGUUCACGCGACUGCACUCUUUUGUUGUUUUUCCUUUGCGCCCCGAAGAAGAAAGCAAAAGUGAGGGAGGUAGGGUCACGUUUUAUCACGCGUUCCCUUUGAGAUCGCUGGAGACGUUGGAGAAUUACUUUUGGGGAAUUGUGUUUUCUUCUGGGGAAACGAUUUUGGGUUGGGUCAAUAGGAGAGUGAGUGGGCUGGGUCAAGAAUACAAAGGUGUGGGCUGAAAAUUAGUUGGUUGGGAAAUUUUUCAGGAAAAAUUAGUAAACUAGUCAAAAUAAAUAACGUAUUUAGUAAAAAUAUUCAUACUUUAUAAAUAUUAGCAAUAAUGUCAAAAAUGUCAUUAUUUUAAAAAAUUUAUGUGUACCAAUUUUCUUCCUAUUUUAUCUCUCCUUUUCAGUUAAUUCUAUAUAUCCUUUUUUAAAAAAAAUCAUUCUCUCUCAUAUUUAUCUUUUCAAAUUGUUAAUUCUCUCUCCCAUUUAAUUUUUUUUCUCUCUCAUGGUUAUUUUUUCUGAUUUGC